rnacentral:rRNA from 1 species
GGGGCAGGGCGGCAUGCUAUACAUGCAGUAGAACGCUGAAGAGAGGAGCUUGCUCUUCUUGGAUGAGUUGCGAACGGGUGAGUAACGCGUAGGUAACCUGCCUUGUAGCGGGGGAUAACUAUUGGAAACGAUAGCUAAUACCGCAUAACAAUGGAUGACACAUGUCAUUUAUUUGAAAGGGGCAAUUGCUCCACUACAAGAUGGACCUGCGUUGUAUUAGCUAGUAGGUGAGGUAAUGGCUCACCUAGGCGACGAUACAUAGCCGACCUGAGAGGGUGAUCGGCCACACUGGGACUGAGACACGGCCCAGACUCCUACGGGAGGCAGCAGUAGGGAAUCUUCGGCAAUGGGGGCAACCCUGACCGAGCAACGCCGCGUGAGUGAAGAAGGUUUUCGGAUCGUAAAGCUCUGUUGUAAGUCAAGAACGGGUGUGAGAGUGGAAAGUUCACACUGUGACGGUAGCUUACCAGAAAGGGACGGCUAACUACGUGCCAGCAGCCGCGGUAAUACGUAGGUCCCGAGCGUUGUCCGGAUUUAUUGGGCGUAAAGCGAGCGCAGGCGGUUUGAUAAGUCUGAAGUUAAAGGCUGUGGCUCAACCAUAGUUCGCUUUGGAAACUGUCAAACUUGAGUGCAGAAGGGGAGAGUGGAAUUCCAUGUGUAGCGGUGAAAUGCGUAGAUAUAUGGAGGAACACCGGUGGCGAAAGCGGCUCUCUGGUCUGUAACUGACGCUGAGGCUCGAAAGCGUGGGGAGCGAACAGGAUUAGAUACCCUGGUAGUCCACGCCGUAAACGAUGAGUGCUAGGUGUUGGAUCCUUUCCGGGAUUCAGUGCCGCAGCUAACGCAUUAAGCACUCCGCCUGGGGAGUACGACCGCAAGGUUGAAACUCAAAGGAAUUGACGGGGGCCCGCACAAGCGGUGGAGCAUGUGGUUUAAUUCGAAGCAACGCGAAGAACCUUACCAGGUCUUGACAUCCCGAUGCUAUUUCUAGAGAUAGAAAGUUACUUCGGUACAUCGGUGACAGGUGGUGCAUGGUUGUCGUCAGCUCGUGUCGUGAGAUGUUGGGUUAAGUCCCGCAACGAGCGCAACCCCUAUUGUUAGUUGCCAUCAUUCAGUUGGGCACUCUAGCGAGACUGCCGGUAAUAAACCGGAGGAAGGUGGGGAUGACGUCAAAUCAUCAUGCCCCUUAUGACCUGGGCUACACACGUGCUACAAUGGUUGGUACAACGAGUUGCGAGUCGGUGACGGCGAGCUAAUCUCUUAAAGCCAAUCUCAGUUCGGAUUGUAGGCUGCAACUCGCCUACAUGAAGUCGGAAUCGCUAGUAAUCGCGGAUCAGCACGCCGCGGUGAAUACGUUCCCGGGCCUUGUACACACCGCCCGUCACACCACGAGAGUUUGUAACACCCGAAGUCGGUGAGGUAACCUUUGGAGCCAGCCGCCUAAGGUGGGACAGAAGAGGGG